CCAGACUCCUACGGGAGGCAGCAGUGGGGAAUAUUGGGCAAUGGGGGAAACCCUGACCCAGCGACGCCGCGUGAGGGAAGAAGGUUUUCGGAUUGUAAACCUCUGUCCUUGGUGACGAUAAUGACGGUAGCCAAGGAGGAAGCCACGGCUAACUCCGUGCCAGCAGCCGCGGUAAUACGGAGGAUGCGAGCGUUAUCCGGAUUUAUUGGGUUUAAAGGGUGCGCAGGCGGCCUGUUAAGUCAGCGGUAAAAGCCGGGGGCCAACCCCCGGCGAGCCGUUGAAACUGGCGGGCUGGAGUUGGAGAGAAGUACGCGGAAUGCGCGGUGUAGCGGUGAAAUGCUUAGAUAUCGCGCAGAACCCCGAUUGCGAAGGCAGCGUACCGGCUCCACACUGACGCUGAGGCACGAAAGCGUGGGUAUCGAACAGGAUUAGAUACCCCAGUAA
rnacentral:rRNA from 1 species